GACGUAGGUGGCGAACGUUAUCCGGAAUUAUUGGGCGUAAAGGGUGCGUAGGUGGUCUGAUAAGUUAUCAGUGGCAAAUCGAGGCUCAACCUCGUGGAAACUGGUAAUACUGUCAGGCUUGAGUGCAGGAGAGGUUAACGGAACUCUAUGUGGAGCGGUAAAAUGCACAGAUAUAUAGAAGAACAUCAAUAACGGCGAAGGCAGUUAACUAGUCUGUUACUGACACUGAGGCACGAAAGCGUGGGGAGCAAAACGG
rnacentral:rRNA from 1 species